UGUAACGGAUAGUAGACUAAAGUAAAUUAAGAAUUUUCUAAAUUAAGUAUGACGCAGAUUGUUUAUGGAUGUUUGUCUGUUUUGAUUAGCAUUUUUGUUGGGUUUUUUUUGUUUUGUUUUGUUUGAUGGUAUUUGUACUUUGUAAUGUUUUGGGGGGGGGUUUGUUGUACCUCUUGGGCUGCCGUAACUAAUGAGGCCAGGCCCUUUAAAAGCUGGUAGAAUCGUCGUGUCAAUCAAUGACUUGAACUGUCAAGCUGAGUAGCAUGAAUAAAUCAACACUUAGUGUUCCCCAGUGAAAGCAGUGAGUUUUCACGGUGACUAAGGUGACUGUGGUGACUGUGGUGAUUCUGAAUCACCCGAAGAAAAUAAAAACACUAAAUUCACCCGUCGAGACUGGCUGGUUAAUUCAACUGCUGGGGAGCUGCUAC